GGCGGACGGGUGAGUAACGCGUAGGAAUCUGUCCGGUAGUGGGGGAUAACGUUCCGAAAGGAACGCUAAUACCGCAUACGCCCCAUGGGGGAAAGCGGGGGAUCUUCGGACCUCGCGCUAUCGGAGGAGCCUGCGUCGGAUUAGCUAGUUGGUAGGGUAAAGGCCUACCAAGGCGACGAUCCGUAGCUGGUCUGAGAGGAUGAUCAGCCACACCGGAACUGAGACACGGUCCGGACUCCUACGGGAGGCAGCAGUGGGGAAUAUUGCGCAAUGGGGGCAACCCUGACGCAGCCAUGCCGCGUGUGUGAAGAAGGCCUUCGGGUUGUAAAGCACUUUCAGAGGGGAGGAAAGGGCGCUGGCUAAUAUCCAGCGCAGUUGACGCUACCCUCAGAAGAAGCACCGGCUAAUUCCGUGCCAGCAGCCGCGGUAAUACGGAAGGUGCAAGCGUUAAUCGGAAUUACUGGGCGUAAAGCGCGCGUAGGCGGCUUGGUAAGUCGGAUGUGAAAGCCCCGGGCUC
rnacentral:rRNA from 1 species